rnacentral:rRNA from 1 species
UCGGACGGGUGAGUAACGCGUGAGAAUCUGCCCUCAGGAGGGGGAUAACAGUUGGAAACGACUGCUAAUACCCCAUAUGCCGAGAGGUGAAACGAAUUUUGCCUGGGGAUGAGCUCGCGUCUGAUUAGCUUGUUGGUGGGGUAAAAGCCUACCAAGGCUUCGAUCAGUAGCUGGUCUGAGAGGACGAUCAGCCACACUGGGACUGAGACACGGCCCCCACUCCUACGGGAGGCAGCAGCAGGGAAUCUUGCGCAAUGGGCGAAAGCCUGACGCAGCGACACCGCGUGGGGGAUGAAGGCUUUCGAGUUGUAAACCCCUUUUCCCGGGGAUGAGAAAGGACAGUACCCGGGGAAUAAGGUUCGGCUAACUACGUGCCAGCAGCCGCGGUAAUACGUAGGAACCGAGCGUUGUCCGGAUUUACUGGGCGUAAAGUGCGCGUAGGCGGUCUGUUAAGUCUCAUGUGAAAUCUCCCGGCUCAACUGGGAGGGGUCAUGGGAUACUGGCAGACUUGAGUGCAGUAGAGGGGAGUGGAAUUCCCGGAGUAGUGGUGGAAUGCGUAGAUACCGGGAGGAACACCAGAGGCGAAGGCGACUCCCUGGGCUGUGUCUGACGCUGAGGCGCGAAAGCGUGGGUAGCAAACCGGAUUAGAUACCCGGGUAGUCCACGCCCUAAACGAUGGAUACUAGGUAUGGGGGGUAUCGACCCCCUCCGUGCCGCAGCUAACGCAAUAAGUAUCCCGCCUGAGGAGUACGGCCGCAAAGCUAAAACUCAAAGGAAUUGACGGGGACCCGCACAAGCAGCGGAUCGUGUGGUUUAAUUCGAUGCCAAGCGAAGAACCUUACCAGGGCUUGACAUGUUUCCGACAGUCCCCGAAAGGGGAUAUUCCUUCGGGACGGAUUCACAGAUGUUGCAUGGUCGUCGUCAGCUCGUGUCGUGAGAUGUUGGGUUAAGUCCCGCAACGAGCGCAACCCUUGUCGUUAGUUACCUUGUCUAGCGAGACUGCAUGUAAAAAACAUGAGGAAGGUGGGGAUGACGUCAGAUCAGCACGGCUCUUACGUCCUGGGCUACAAACACGCUACAAUGGCCUGAACAAAGGGUUGCCAAGGCGCAAGCCGGAGCCAAUCCCACAAAUCAGGCCUCAGUUGGAAUUGCAGGCUGAAACUCGCCUGCAUGAACGUGUAGCUGCUAAUAACCGCAGGUCAGCACACUGCGGUGAAUACGUUCCCGGGCCUUGUACACACCGCCCG